rnacentral:rRNA from 1 species
UGGGGAAUCUUGCGCAAUGGACGAAAGUCUGACGCAGCGACGCCGCGUGGGUGAUGAAGGCCUUCGGGUUGUAAAGCCCUGUGGGGAGGGACGAAUAAGUUGCAGCUAAUACCUGCAGCGAUGACGGUACCUCCUUAGCAAGCACCGGCUAACUCUGUGCCAGCAGCCGCGGUAAGACAGAGGGGGCAAGCGUUGUUCGGAAUUACUGGGCGUAAAGGGCGCGUAGGCGGCCGCCUAAGUCAGACGUGAAAUCCCUCGGCUCAACCGGGGAACUGCGUCUGAUACUGGGUGGCUUGAAUUCGGGAGAGGGAUGCGGAAUUCCAGGUGUAGCGGUGAAAUGCGUAGAUAUCUGGAGGAACACCGGUGGCGAAGGCGGCAUCCUGGACCGAGAUUGACACUGAUGAGCGAAAGCCAGGGGAGCAAA